rnacentral:tRNA from 1 species
GCCGGACCGAAGCGAGGGGCGACGCCGGCGGCGCCAUGGUCGCCGCGGUCGCCGGAGGCGCGGCCGGCGGUUCACUGCCACCGGACUGGCA